rfam:Ictidomys tridecemlineatus contig111185, whole genome shotgun sequence.
GGUAAAAUGGCCAAGUAAGUAUUAGAAUAAAAAUCUAAAGGUGGAGGUUGAACUCUCUUUUUACCA